UAAUCAUGUUGCGGGCAACGACAUAAUAAGUCUUUGAAUCGCUCCAUGCGUCAUAAAGUUGUUUAGAAUCAAACUGUCUAAAUUUCUUAAUCUCACUUCUCAAUUG